GGCAGAGGGAGAGGAGAGAGAAUCCCUGGUGCGGGGCCCGAUCCCACAAACCUGGGAUCGUGACCUGGGUCGAAACCAAGAGGCAGAUGCUCAACCCUCUGAGCCACCCAGGCUCCCCCGAGAAAGGACCUUCUAGAACUCUAAAGGAGUGUAUCUAUGUUUACUGUUCUUGCUGCCACGGGGAACACUUAUCAGGAACCCCUUCACUAUUCCACUGAAAAAAAGUUUAUUGCACACCUGGAUGCCUUCUACAACUAUUCUGAUGAGACUCUGGCGCACGUUAUUCCCACAUUUUCCAAGGCUCUCCAAGGCUGCAAGCCCUGAGAAAUUCUGUGACUUCACACUUGCUCAAAAUAUGAAUCUGGAAAUAAAAUUAAUCUCUGGAAUAUAAAAAAGUCAGUUGAAAAGACUCAAUGACAUGGACCCUUCUGUAAGUGAGCAGCAAAGCAUUAACUGGUCUUAAGAGACUUCCAUCAGCAGCCAGGUGCCUUGCGGUUCCCAGGAGUUCUAGAUCCCAGACUCCCUCAGCACCAUCUUCCCGGAAACACUGCUUCAGGGUCAUUACCACAAAGAGAGAAGUGUUCAAAAGCACAGGAAAUUGAAGUUUGGAAAUAUCCAGUAACUUGCUGGCCCAGUGUUAUGUCAUAUGGUUGGUAAGUGGCACAGCCAGGACUUUGACCCAGGCCCCAGUCUUCCUGGUAGGUCAAGGCACUGAGCUGGAAAGACGGAUUCCGAGCGAGAUCUUUGCAUCGCUGCUCCCAAGUACUAGCUGUGGAAAAAUCUGUAACUUUUGUUACAGACAGGUGUAUUGGGCAAAGUCUGAGCCAAGCUGGCCCUGAGGUGUUAUUGUUCCUGCCCUCCAGUGGCUUUCAAUCCGGGAAGAAAGAGUGGUUCUUUAACACAAGGGAGGCUCCAACAAGUUCUAGACUACAGCUACCAAUCAGGUCAGUUGGGAGAAAGUUUUACAGUUUAAAUUUCUUACCAACUGGAUGAAUUUUUGUCCCAGAUAUAAUGAUAUGCAAUUAAAAACAGACCAAGGUAAAAAGACACAUGCUAUGUCUUUUUUUUUUUUUUUUUUUUAAGUUUAGUUUGUAAUUUCUGAUAUUUCACACUGUAGUAGCUGCUGAGGUAGGACGCCUUCAGGGCUCCUUAGUAGCUUUGAGGAAACCACGCUUGCUCCACACCCCAGUGCAAACCCACCUCCUUCCUCCCUCUCCCCCCACUGUUGUAAUGAGUCUGUUUACUCGGGACACUUGAAGCCCAGUUUACAGGGCUGCUAACUGAAGCCCAGUUCACUUAAGGGCUGUGCGCCUCUCUAGGAGAGAUGUCAAUUAUUGCUUUGCAAGUUGUGUCAACUUCUUGGCCAAAUGGCAGUCAGCUGUCCAUGUGGACACAAGAUGAAUCCUGCAACUCAAGAAAGGUAGAGGUAUUUGCAAGAGCAAACUUUCAAGGAACGGAACAAACCUGCGACUGUGCCUUUGUUGCCUUCAUCUUUCACAGCAGCAAACGACCUGAUACUCAAGAAAGGUAUAAAUCCUCUUUCGUUCCCCAAACCUAUAGACUAUUUUCUAAAUUGCUCCCUCACCCUUUUAGGCAUUGUUUGCCUCUAUCUUUAAAAAGCGCUGAAGUGUAAAUGUUAUUCUAU